rnacentral:rRNA from 1 species
AUUGAACGCUGGCGGCAGGCCUAACACAUGCAAGUCGAGCGGAGCGGCAGACGGGUGCGUAUUGCCUAGGAAUCUGCCUGGGAGUGGUGGAUAACGUCCGGGAAAGGGCGCUAAUACUUCAUACUAUCAGAUGAGCCUCGGUCGGAUUAGCUAUUGCGUGGGGUAAAGGCCUACCAAGGCGACGACCCGUAACUGGUCUGAGAGGAUGAUCAGUCACACUGGAACUGAGACACGGUCCAGACUCCUACGGGAGGCAGCAGUGGGGAAGAUUGGACAAUGGGCGAAAGCCUGAUCCAGCCAUGCCGCGUGUGUGAAGAAGGUCUUCGGAUUGUAAAGGACUUUAAGUUGGGAGGCGUUACCAACAGAAUAAGCACCGGCUAACUCCGUGCCAGCAGCCGCGGUAAUUC